rnacentral:rRNA from 1 species
GACGUAGGAGGCGAGCGUUGUCCGGAAUUACUGGGCGUAAAGAGCGCGUAGGCGGCGCGGUACGACCGCUGUGAAAGCCCCCAGCUCAACUGGGGAGGGUCAGCGGUAACGGCCGUGCUUUGAGUGCAGGAGAGGGAAGUGGAACUCCGGGAGUAGCGGUGAAAUGCGUAGAGACCCGGAGGAACACCAGUGGCGAAGGCGGCUUCCUGGUCUGCGACUGACGCUGUGGCGCGAAAGCUAGGGGAGCAAACGGG